rnacentral:rRNA from 1 species
GGCAGCAGUGGGGAAUAUUGCACAAUGGGCGCAAGCCUGAUGCAGCCAUGCCGCGUGUGUGAAGAAGGCCUUCGGGUUGUAAAGCACUUUCAGUCGUGAGGAAGGUAGUGUAGUUAAUAGCUGCAUUGUUUGACGUUAGCGACAGAAGAAGCACCGGCUAACUCCGUGCCAGCAGCCGCGGUAAUACGGAGGGUGCGAGCGUUAAUCGGAAUUACUGGGCGUAAAGCGCAUGCAGGUGGUUUGUUAAGUCAGAUG